rnacentral:rRNA from 1 species
UACGAAGGGAGCUAGCGUUGUUCGGAAUCACUGGGCGUAAAGGGCUCGUAGGCGGUCUGUUACGUCAGGAGUGAAAACUCGGGGCUCAACCCCGAGCCUGCUUCUGAUACGGGCAGACUGGAGGUAUGCAGGGGAGAACGGAAUUCCUGGUGUAGCGGUGAAAUGCGCAGAUAUCAGGAGGAACACCGGUGGCGAAGGCGGUUCUCUGGGCAUUACCUGACGCUGAGGAGCGAAAGUGUGGGGAGCGAACAGG